rnacentral:rRNA from 1 species
GAUGAACGCUGGCGGCGUGCUUAAUACAUGCAAGUCGAGCGAAGCACUUUAACGGAAUUCUCCGGAAGGAAGGUAAAGUGACUGAGCGGGCGUACGGGUGAAGGUAACGCGUAGGGUAACCUGCCUUAUACAGGGGGAUAACAGUUAGAAAUGGCUGCUAAUACCGCAUAAGCGCACAGGGCCGCAUGGCCCGGUGUGAAAAACUCCGGUGGUAUAAGAUGGACCUGCGUCUGAUUAGCUGGUUGGUGGGGUAACGGCCCACCAAGGCGACGAUCAGUAGCCGGCCUGAGAGGGUGAACGGCCACAUUGGGACUGAGACACGGCCCAG